UUAUUAUUUUAUUUUUAAGAUUAAUCAAUGUUUUCAGAAGAGGAAGAAGAUGAUCCUAGAAAUAGCCAGGAAUCCAUAAUAACAGGGACUCCCAGUCCAUCUUCACCGAUUCUGGAAAGUUUCAGCCCAGAGUCAGAGAGGCAAUGUACUUCUCCUCACCUGUCAUCCACUAGCCAGGUUCUUCGUUUAUUUAGAGCGCUGCUACAGCUGGUCGGUCUACCAAAAAAAAAAGGAAGACAUCCAAAGUUGAUAAAGUGCCUGAUUUCCCAACAGAGGAAUUGAUAUUACUAGUUCAGGACAGACCCGCCCUUUGGGAUCAUACAAAUGAAAAACAUGCAGA